rnacentral:rRNA from 1 species
GAUGAACGCUAGCUACAGGCUUAACACAUGCAAGUCGAGGGGCAGCGCAGUGUAGCAAUACAUGGGCGGCGACCGGCGCACGGGUGCGUAACGCGUAUCCAACCUUCCCGUUACUCAGGGAUAGCCUUCCGAAAGGGAGAUUAAUACCUGAUGGUGUUUGAAUUCCGCAUGUUAUUCAAACUAAAGAUUCAUCGGUAACGGAUGGGGAUGCGUGACAUUAGAUAGUAGGCGGGGUAACGGCCCACCAUGGCAACGAUGUCUAGGGGUUCUGAGAGGAAGGUCCCCCCACACUGGAACUGAGACACGGUCCAGACUCCUACGGGAGGCAGCAGUGAGGAAUAUUGGUCAAUGGUCUGACGACUGAACCAGCCAUGCCGCGUGAAGGUCACGGCCCUAUGGGUCUUAAACUUCUUUUGUAAGGGAGCAAUAAGGUGCACGUGUGCAUCGAUGAGAGUACCUUACGAAUAAGCAUCGGCUAACUCCGUGCCAGCAG